UACGGGGGGGAGCAAGCGUUUGUUCGGAUUUACUGGGCGUAAAGUGUGCGCAGGCGGCCGCGCAAGUCGAGUGUGAAAGCCCCCGGGCUUAACUUGGGAAUUGCGCUCGAAACUACGUGGCUGGAGUGUGGCAGAGGAAGGUGGAAUUCCAGGUGUAGCGGUGAAAUGCGUAGAGAUCUGGAGGAACACCGAUGGCGAAGGCAGCCUUCUGGGCCAACACUGACGCUCAUGCACGAAAGCGUGGGGAGCAAACAGG
rnacentral:rRNA from 1 species